rnacentral:lncRNA from 1 species
GUGCAUGUUUUGGAUUUAAUUGAUCCGGUGUAACUUUAAAACACAUUUAUUGAUUAUUUUCUGAUAAUGUACAUUUUUCAGCACCUGUUUGUAACACAGAUUAGUAUUUCAAACUCGGAGCGGACAUUUUAUUGUAGGUUUUUACUGAGAUUUACGGACCUAGCAAGCUAUUUUUACGGCAUUGCCAUUUCUUUUCUCUAGGAAAAGCUUUGAGAGAUAUCUGCACCAAGUUUUUUUAUAAACGUUUAGUACAUGUAUGCCCUGCUGACUGCAAAUUUUGAGGUCGAUUGUACUUGUAGUUUCAGAGAACAUGUGGAUUUUUUUUCAGAAGUGACGUAAGAACAAUAUUAAAUUUCAAUUUUUCUUGAAUAAUUGAGAGUUUGUUCCUUCAAUAAACUGUCAUGAUUAAACAGUCAUACAGAUUGAUUGAUUGAUUGAUUGAUUGAUUGAUUGAU